CAUGACCUGGAAGGACCAGCCUGGUACUCUUCUCAACCCUAUUCACUUUGUUUUGCUUGUGAAUUCUGGGAAAGCUUUGUUAGAUUCUGUGAACACCUGGGGAAAGUAGGGGUGGUCAGGACCCCCAUGGACCCUCACAGAGCAGGGUUUGCACAGACUAGUCGACCACUAGACUUUACUGCUCCAUGAUGACACUUCAAGAUUGAUGUCAUCUAGUCCCUGAAAAUGUGAUUGACACUGACAACAUGGAGGCCUCAGACAUGGCAACAAGUGGGGAGCCUGAUGAUUUGGUUUCUCUGGUUUCCUGAAGGCCAGCAGUGCAAUCCAGGGCUUAUUGAUAACAUUUCUCUGUCCAUCUACGUUGCUGUAAAGAUCAAAUAUGGAACGCUGUCAUCUCCAGGUUCCCGAAGACCACAAUAUAAAGUCGGGCGUUAUUAGAGAGAGGGCACAAAGUCCAAUAAUCCUGUAAUGUUUGAGGUUGGUUACUCUUAUCAGCCACUUACAGCAAUAUAAAGCUCUCCGCUGCCAGCGAGUGUCUCCGCAAUUUGCAGAUACAAAAGUGGAAGGGUUUUUCUGGUCCAGGUCUCUGUGCCAGUGACAUGUUAGGAAACUAUGGAUAGAUAAUAAUCAUAAACACGAGUAGACAAAGGCUUUAAUUAAAACAUUCAGGAUUGUAAGGUCUGUAAUGAAGGUCCCUAGGCAGCUAGAUAGAAAUCUUGAUUUAUUGUAAUAGUUAAGAACACUGUUGCUGGUAACAUGUAGAAUUUGAGUCUUUUUGUCAUUUAGCUUUAGUAAAAAAAGCGUUGGAGACCUCUUGUGUAAGGUAGUAAUGUUGAAUCUAUGAAUCU